ACUACGGGAGGCAGCAGUGGGGAAUAUUGGGCAAUGGACGCAAGUCUGACCCAGCAACGCCGCGUGAAGGAAGAAGGCUUUCGGGUUGUAAACUUCUUUUAAGGGGGAAGAGCAGAAGACGGUACCCCUUGAAUAAGCCACGGCUAACUACGUGCCAGCAGCCGCAGUAAUACGUAGGUGGCAAGCGAUGUCCGGAUUUACUGGGUGUAAAGGGCGUGCAGCCGGAGAGACAAGUCAGAUGUGAAAUCCGCGGGCUCAACCCGCGAACUGCAUUUGAAACUGUUUCCCUUGAGUAGCGGAGAGGUCAUCGGAAUUCCGAGUGGAGCGGUGAAAUGCGUAGAUAUUAGGAAGAACACCAGUGGCGAAGGCGGAUGACUGGACGACAACUGACGGUGAGGCGCGAAAGCGUGGGGAGCAAACAGGAUUAGAUACCCCAGUAGUC
rnacentral:rRNA from 1 species